rnacentral:lncRNA from 1 species
GUCUUUUUAAUAUUUCUAUAAUUUCCAAUUUUACAUAAUAAUGAGAACCUAUUUAUUCUACUUUGAGCAACAACAAACAUUGUACCUUCUGGCUUCUGAAAAUUGGUAUUGUCUGCAUGUACUUAGACAAAUUGAGAUUACAGCAAAACUUUGAGCAACCUUAUUGGCCUCAAAUAUAUGUUUUACAAUGUGAAACGAUUUGGGCAAUAAAUUAUGUAGCUGUAAAUAUAAAUAAAUCAUUACAGAUAACAAGAAAUUCAUUUCAAAAGAUUAUGCCAUAAAAAUAAAAACGUAAAAAUAU